AGUGAACGCUGGCGGUAGGCCUAACACAUGCAAGUCGAACGGCAGCACAGUAAGAGCUUGCUCUUACGGGUGGCGAGUGGCGGACGGGUGAGGAAUACAUCGGAAUCUACUUUUUCGUGGGGGAUAACGUAGGGAAACUUACGCUAAUACCGCAUACGACCUACGGGUGAAAGCAGGGGAUCUUCGGACCUUGCGCGAUUGAAUGAGCCGAUGUCGGAUUAGCUAGUUGGCGGGGUAAAGGCCCACCAAGGCGACGAUCCGUGGCUGGUCUGAGAGGAUGAUCAGCCACACUGGAACUGAGACACGGUCCAGACUCCUACGGGAGGCAGCAGUGGGGAAUAUUGGACAAUGGGCGAAAGCCUGAUCCAGCCAUACCGCGUGGGUGAAGAAGGCCUUCGGGUUGUAAAGCCCUUUUGUUGGGAAAGAAAAGCAGCAGGUUAAUACCCCGCUGUUCUGACGGUACCCAGAGAAUAAGCACCGGCUAACUUCGUG
rnacentral:rRNA from 1 species